AACGAACGCUGGCGGCAUGCCUAACACAUGCAAGUCGAACGAGACCCCUGACUUCGGUUGGCGGGUCUAGUGGCGCACGGGUGCGUAACGCGUGGGAAUCUGCCCUUGGGUUCGGAAUAACUCAGAGAAAUUUGAGCUAAUACCGGAUGAUGACGAAAGUCCAAAGAUUUAUCGCCCAGGGAUGAGCCCGCGUAAGAUUAGCUUGUUGGUGGGGUAAUGGCCUACCAAGGCGACGAUCUUUAGCUGGUCUGAGAGGAUGAUCAGCCACACUGGGACUGAGACACGGCCCAGACUCCUACGGGAGGCAGCAGUGGGGAAUAUUGGACAAUGGGCGCAAGCCUGAUCCAGCAAUGCCGCGUGAGUGAUGAAGGCCUUAGGGUUGUAAAGCUCUGUCGGGUAGGAAGAUAAUGACGGUACUACCCGAGGAAGCCCCGGCUAACUACGUGCCAGCAGCCGCGGUAAGAGUCACGUCG
rnacentral:rRNA from 1 species